rnacentral:rRNA from 1 species
GACGAACGCUGGCGGCGUGCCUAAUACAUGCAAGUAGAACGCUGAAGGAGGAGCUUGCUUCUCUGGAUGAGUUGCGAACGGGUGAGUAACGCGUAGGUAACCUGCCUGGUAGCGGGGGAUAACUAUUGGAAACGAUAGCUAAUACCGCAUAAUAGCAGUUAUUGCAUGAUAACUGUUUGAAAGGUGCAAUUGCACCACUACCAGAUGGACCUGCGUUGUAUUAGCUAGUUGGUGGGGUAACGGCUCACCAAGGCGACGAUACAUAGCCGACCUGAGAGGGUGGUCGGCCACACUGGGACUGAGACACGGCCCAGACUCCUACGGGAGGCAGCAGUAGGGAAUCUUCGGCAAUGGACGGAAGUCUGACCGAGCAACGCCGCGUGAGUGAAGAAGGUUUUCGGAUCGUAAAGCUCUGUUGUAAGAGAAGAACGAGUGUGAGAGUGGAAAGUUCACACUGUGACGGUAUCUUACCAGAAAGGGACGGCUAACUACGUG